AGAUUAAAAGAGUCUACCUGGUUCCUGUGAACUGGUACUGGGGCUUUCCCUGUUCAUGUUUGGUCUCUCCCACACCUGUAUGUCCUCAUCCUCAGAUGUCGUAUCAGUUUGUGUUUGCUUUUCCUCAUUGUGUUUGGUUACAAACUUAACCAGCCUAAACUUUUGCACUUUAGCGCUGUCUGGGAAAUAAACCUUGUAUGCUGGACUGUUUUUGUCGUAGCCUACAAAAAUCCCUUUUGUACACCUAGAA